rnacentral:antisense_RNA from 1 species
CUUCAUCGAGCCCAGCCACAACGGCCGCUCGCGCCGCUGCCCGUAGGCGGCGAGCACCGCCUGGGCUUC